CUAUUCUUUCCCUCUUAGGUAUUUCUCAUGAGUGUAAAAUAUCCACAGCGAUAUACACAUGCAGUGAGCCAAAGAUCCUUCGUCUGUGUCCAUCCACAGCACCUCUGAGGAGCCACGUUGACAAUGCCUGCCUGAGUCCUUGCCAAGUUUGAGACUGUGCAGUACUCCUUAAACCUUCUUCAUUGUCUUAUCAAGAUCAUCUGCCUGUGGAAAGGGCCAUUAAAAUAGUCAGAUUUUGGAAUGCCACAUGUCUAGAGAGUUGCUAGGAAGAAUUCAUCAUAAAAAUAAAAUAUCACUUUUUUUUAAAAAAGCAACAACAGAAAUAAAAACAUAAAUUAAAGCAAUAAAAUAUAUCUACUGGAAAUGACUGGGGCAAGAGGGAAGGUCCUUUCUAUAUGCCCAACUGAAAGUUCUAUGAAGUUUGGAGCAAUCAUAUUUACAGCAGAUAUAAAUUAAAUUAACUGAGACCAUAAAAUAGAGCAACUGUUUUUCAUUUCCACUCUUGAGAAAACAAGAGGAAAGGGUGAUCAAUGCUAAGGAAGACUUCUUCUACCAGUGUCCAUAGGGAUGAUUAGGAAGUGCUGAGAAGCCAUCUCCUCUGAUACAUGUUUAAAGAGCAAAAGAUAAUAUUUUACAUGCACUUUGUAGUCCUUUGUACUUCACCAAGGUUGAAGCUCCUCAACUGUAAAUAAAGGGAGCUUCUCACCUAAGAGCUACAAAAAUACAAAUGCACAUCUGUGACAAUUGUGAAAACUAAUUAACAAUGGUUAAUCCAAAGUGAAAAUGAGCAUCUAUUCCUGUGCGACUGUAGCUUGGCUUAAGAGCAGGGAAUUGAGUGAUUUAAGGGGAUCUCUGACCCCAUAGUCUACAAGCCUGUGAUUAACAGCGGAAUUAACCAGACACACAUGAUGACUACUCAUCCUGUCUCAACUGCUGGGCUUUCCUUCUCUAAAACUCUGUGUUUGAGAGACUAAUCCAGAGCAUAUGCCUUGCCCACCCGCCCUGCACCAUCACCAACUGCCCCCACCCUCCAGCAAUCUGGAGGCAGCAAAUGGAAGUACAAACAACAAGGAAGAAAAGGAUGUGAUAUUUUAAAUAAUGGCAGGAAUUCAAAGUCAUUCUAUAAACCAUAUUGAAUUCUGCAAGUUUAAUGAAGUUUGAUUAAUAAGAAUGAUUCAGUCAUUUGGGGGUUUUGGU
rnacentral:lncRNA from 1 species